rnacentral:rRNA from 1 species
CGGACGGGUGAGUAAUAUCGUGGGAAGCUGCCUGCUUGGAGGGGGAUAGCGGAGCGAAAGUUCCGAUAAUACCGCGUAAGCCCGAGAGGGGAAAGUGCGGGACCGCAAGGCCGCACGCGAGCAGAUGCGCCCAGAUGGGAUUAGGCAGUUGGGGAGGUAAUGGCUCAACCAAACCGAUGAUCUCUAGCUGGUUUGAGAGGACAAUCAGCCACAUUGGAAUUGAGAACGGACCAAACUCCUACGGGAGGCAGCAGGUGGGGAAUAUUGCACAAUGGGGGAAACCCUGAUGCAGCCAUGCCGCGUGUGUGAAGAAGGCCUUCGGGUUGUAAAGCACUUUUGCAUUCGAGGAAGACAGCACGUAAAUAAACGUGUUAUUUGACGUUAGAGUGUGAAUAAGCACCGGCAAACUCCGUG